UACGAACGCUGGCGGCAUGCCUAAUACAUGCAAGUCGAGCGAACAGAUGAAGUGCUUGCACUUCUGACGUUAGCGGCGAACGGGUGAGUAACACGUAAGGAAUCUACCUAUAAGCGGGGGAUAACAUUCGGAAACGGGUGCUAAUACCGCAUAAUAUCUUCUUCCGCAUGGAAGAAGAUUGAAAGACGGCUCUGCUGUCACUUAUAGAUGACCUUGCGGUGCAUUAGUUAGUUGGUGGGGUAACGGCCUACCAAGACGAUGAUGCAUAGCCGACCUGAGAGGGUGAUCGGCCACAUUGGGACUGAGACACGGCCCAAACUCCUACGGGAGGCAGCAGUAGGGAAUCUUCCGCAAUGGGCGAAAGCCUGACGGAGCAAUGCCGCGUGAGUGAAGAAGGCCUUCGGGUCGUAAAACUCUGUUAUAAGAGAAGAACAAAUUGUAGAGUAACUGCUACAGUCUUGACGGUAUCUUAUCAGAAAGCCACGGCUAACUACGUG
rnacentral:rRNA from 1 species